GGACAGCACAUGGCAGCCCCUGAAGCACGAACAUGACUGCACCUCGGGUCUGCCGUCUCCCAAGAUAUGGGUGAGUUCUCGUGAUGCCCACCCUAAACCCUCACGUCCUACAAAUUCCUCAACCUCUACCAUCUCGAUUUCGUCCAUGCUCUGAUCCAAAUGACGAUGCAGCUCCGGCCGAUUGACAAUGGAGGUUUGCCAUCCUUCCUCUCAGCACCCACUUCUGGAGGAACGACACGCCAUGCCGAUCGAACCCGGUCGAGAUCACUCACCAAGAUUGCUAUUCGGAAGUUUUUUGUCAAAAAGUGAAGAGUGGGACGGGAUCUGCACUUUUGUUAAUAUAACAUAUACUUGUGCAGGUGCAGGUUUUGUUUUAAAGAUCCAAUUUGUUUAUCCUUUUGUCGCUGAAAUUGUUUACUAAUUAUGUCAUUGGUUUUAUUUCUUCUAGAUGUUGUAUAUUCUUGGAUUGAAGGGACUGUCUGACAAGGUGAAAGAGCUAAUAGUUGUAGUUUUACACCAAUGCAAAUUUGUUUUGCUUCCGUGUUAAACAUGACCUGCGACAGUUGCCGUCACUGUUGAUUAUUCAUACUCAGAUUAAGUUUCAGGCUCAGUCGUCUCUGUCGUCACUCGUCAGCGCACAGACGAUGGGUUGGUGCCAUACUAUCAUGUGGCAUCUCCGUCGUUUUGGGCCGGGAAGAUAACAAAUUUUCAGGAAACAAAUAAUACAUUUU
rnacentral:lncRNA from 1 species